rnacentral:lncRNA from 12 species
CAAUUACAUGCUGUUGUCACCAGUGUGAAAUCUCCCGACUAUCCCCACCUGGUCUAUAUCACUGGACUAGUUGUCUGUGAUAUUUGUGCACCGUCUUGAGGCUUCGCAGACACAGGUAGAGCCCCGAUGCCAUCAUACCGUGUCUUUGUCAGCCCUCCUCCCUGUGUCACAUUUUGGUGCAUCUGGCUGCUUCUCUCUUGCCACCAGCCUAUGAAUUUUAUGAAGUACCUGUCUUUACAUGCUCAGGGGCCAGCCCAAGAGACAGCACACAGCAAGUGCUCAAUAAAUGCUGCACUGAGCCCAGUGGGGCCAGGGCCUCGGCUGUGGCCCUGUCUGGUGCCUUUCUCUUCCCCUACACUCACGUUCUCAGCUUGUGUUGGAACUUCCUUGAGUUAUGGAGAUACUCUUCUAUGUAAGAACAAGGCAGCAAUAUCCGUUCUCCUUGGCUUUCAGUGGGUCUGAGAAAAUCUGGCCAAUCAAGGCUGUGUUCAGAUCAUCAGGCUGCCCCUGCUACCUUAUAAGGUAACAUCAAUUUUUGCUCCUUUAGCUUUCCCAUACUCCCCAGGCUGGGGGAUCCCAUUAUUUUUGGACAUUCUCUGGCUUUAGUCACCAAUGGACACACUCAGCAUGUCUUUCUGUCCCCCUACCCUGCCCUUUGCGGGAGACAGUCCUGCUCCAACCUUCCCUUUAGUGCUUUUCUGACCAGGCGUUUCCCACUUCAGUCACAAUAAUGACUUCUUAUUUCACAUAUUCGCAGAUGGAAUCACAACCCUUCCAGACCCCGUCGUCCACCAUUCCCAACCUUCUGAUGGACACACACAAAGGAAACCCAGCCCACUACAGCUGCCAUGACUGCCACCACCACUACCAGCAGAUGUUUAAUUAGCACUUACCCAUACUAACUCACUCCAUCUUCAUAACCAUCUUCUGAGGCAAGUACGUCAUCCUUACUUUGAAGAUGAGGAAGCUGAGGUCCCAAACUGUGCUCUUAAGCAUCCUCUUAUGCUGCUUUCUGCAAACAAGCACUGCGGCAGAGUACAGAGAACGUGACCUUUGAGGUUGGAAAUUUCCUUGGCUUUGACAUUUAUUAGUUGAGUGAUCUUGAACAGGUUACUUGACUCCUCUGAGCCUCUGCUUUAUUAUCUGUAAAAGAAAUAGAGUUUCUACCUUGUAGUAAUGAAGAAAUAAAAUCAGAAGCUCUCGCA